UGCGCGACCCCGGCGCGCCCCCUCCCCCCGCUCGGGCCCGGGCGGAGAAGAGGGAAAAGCCGCCGAGGCCUGACAGGGCGCACCGCCGGGGCCGACUCGGGGCCUCCCGGGGCGCUGGACCAAUGCUGGGCGCUCGUUACGCGCAGAAGUCGGGGAAGAAGAGCAGGUCAGCGCGGGGCGCCUGAGGCGGGUCCCUGAGGAGAAGGGCUGUGAGUGUCGGAAACACCGAGACGCGAGAACGCGGAGGCCAAGCUUUUAGGGACACUGAACGUUCGGGACAGGAUAUAAUUAGAGCCGGCAGUUUUGAGGGACCAGUGAUGUGCUAAGCACUUACCUGAGCCAUGGCGACCCUGUGCAGCAGUGAUAGAUACUGCUGCGCCUUUCCAGGGAGGCCAGAUCACAAAGCCACCUGAAGUCCUAACCGAACUGGAGUCUGGAAGAGCAAAACAGUUGGCUGCCCAGCUUCCCAUGAAGGUAGAGGCAGCCUGUGACCCAGUUGUGGCCAAUGAGUUGUGAGUGGAAGUCAGCUGGGUGCUUUGGGGAAAUCUUUUGCUUUUCCUCAAAGAGGGACAUUUGCUGCCCAUAACAUCUUUUUGCUGCUCAUACCUGGAUGUCCUAUUUUUGGGGGGAACUGCCCCAGUCAUCUUACAACAGUGAAGAAAAGGCCAAAGAGCUAUCAAAGAUGUUAGUCCAUAGAAUCAUCAGCAGUAACUGCACACUCCACGUGUCUUUGUAAAUAAGGAACAUGAACUUUCUUUUCUUUUAUCAAGUUCUGUUGUUGGUAGUUGAAGGCAUCUCUAACUGAUAAAAUUUCUCCUGGGCUACAUUGAUUGAUUUCCAGGAUGGGUGUGUGACUCAAGUUAAAGCAAUUGAACCAAUGAGACUCAAUCUUAGAACUUCCACUGUUAGAAUGAGAAGUUCAUUUGAAAGUAAAGAUAUAUUAACCCAGAACUGGUGGAGCCAACUUGCCCCUACAUGGGGUCAGCCAGAGUGAGAAUGAAGCCAGUACAGAGGAAAUCAGAGCUGAGAUGUGGAGGGAGAGUGAGUUAGGAUGACAUGCUUUGAGGCCCUGAUGCUGAUCUGCCUGCAGUUAAGGUGCCUUUGGGCUUUUUGAGUACAUGGGUCAAUAAAUCUCUCUUUGGCUCAAGCUUAUCUGAGAGGUGUUUUCCGUCAUGUAUUGUAACUUGGCAACAUAUUACUCAUGCUAUUUCUAGUCUGUAUUUUCCGCUGCUUGCAUGUCCUCAAGUGGUAUUUAAGUACCUAAAAGCAGGACUUAAUAUUUAUCCAUUUUUAGUGAGUUACCUCCUCCUCCACCUUCUCUCUUGAGACUUUUGUGGGUCCAAUCCUCCCCACUCACCCCACCCACCCCUGCCAUCAGCAAGGACAGUCCUCUGCUCUGGGUAAGAAGAGAUGAAAGAUCCCACAC